rnacentral:lncRNA from 12 species
AUGUAUCUGGGUCAGCCUGGGAGGGGCUGGACCUGCCGGGGGCCGGCGGGGCGGAGGGGGGCGAUGACAGCAUCUGUCAGGUUCCUGGCGUUUCCGGGCUUGGCCCCGUCCAGCCUCGCCCCGCACUCGCGCCCGGCGGGCCCCGGCCCCGGCCCCGGCCCCGGCCCCGGCCCCUGCCCCGGCGGCGCGGGCGCGGCCGCCCCUGCUCGCCCUCCGCCGCGCGCACGGCCGGGCCCCCGGGGAGGCAGGGGGCGACGCAACGGCUCGCGGCCGCCACCGGCCCCCGGGCUUCCUUCCUGCCCGGUGACAGACGGCGGGGCCGCAGGCCAGUCGCCGCGGGAGAGGCUCCCCCCCGGGCCCGAGCCGCCGUCGGCCGCGCCAAGCGGGGACCCAGCGCAGGCCCCAGGGGCCUCUCCCCAGGGCCCGCGCCCCGCACCCCCACCCCCCACCCCCCCGGCGCCCGCGGCCCCCGCGGCUCCCCGAGCGAGGCGCGAGGUGCGUCCGGCCCGCGCCCGCCGACGCCUUGGCCGCGGGGUCACGGGCUCGCGGCUCCCCGCUCCGACGGCUCCAGGCCCGGCCCCCCCUCCGCGAGCCGCCCCGCGCCUGCCCUCGCUCUUCCUCGGCGCGGCGCGGAGCAGCGACCCGAGCGCUCCCGGGGCUCCCGCCCUCGCCCUCCCCGCACCUCCCCGCCCUGCCGCCGCCGCCGCCGCCGCCGCCGCACGCUCGGGCCUCGUGUGCGCGCGGGAGCCCCGAUGCCCCCGGGCCAGCAGCCCCGCAGCCCCGCAGCCCCGCACGGCGCCCCCCGCCGCCCCCGAGGCCGCGCGCCAGCCCCCCGCGCCGAGCCCAGCCGAGCCGCGCGCCCGCCCCCCGCCCCCUGCAGCUCCACGCGCCCGCGGCCCGCCCGCCCCGCCCCGCCCCGCCCCCGCCCCCCUGCAGCUCCACGCGCCCGCGGCCCGCGCCCCCCGCCCCCGCCCCCGCCCCCGGCUCCCCGCGCCCGCGGCCCGCCCCCGCCGCACCCCCUCCCCCGGCCGCUCCCGGCGGGCGGGGAGCCGAGCGGACUGGGGCGCGCAGGGGGCGCGCAGAGCUCUCGGGCCGCCCGCGCUCGCCGCGCCUCGGGGACUGCGCUGGGGCGAGCGGCCCGGGCCGGCCCCCCUCGCUCGCCCCGCCGCGGGUCUGAAACUUUCUCGGCGGGUCCGCGGCUCGUCGCCGACGCGAGCAGGGGGCGGGGGCGGGGGCGCGGCGCGGCGGCCGUGA